AACGUAGGAGACAACCGUUAUCCGGAGUUACUGGGCGUAAAGGGCGUGUAGGUGGUUUCGUAAGUCUGGCGUGAAAUUUCUCGGCUUAACCGAGGCAGGUCGUCGGAUACUGCGGGACUUGAGGACGGUAGAGGCGUGUGGAAUUCCGGGUGUAGUGGUGAAAUGCGUAGAGAUCCGGAGGAACACCAGUGGCGAAGGCGACACGCUGGGCCGUACCUGACACUGAUGCGCGACAGCAUGGGGAGCAAACAGG
rnacentral:rRNA from 1 species